UACGUAGGUGGCAAGCGUUAUCCGGAAUUAUUGGGCGUAAAGAGCGCGCAGGUGGUUGGUUAAGUCUGAUGUGAAAGCCCACGGCUUAACCGUGGAGGGUCAUUGGAAACUGGUCGACUUGAGUGCAAAAGAGGGAAGUGGAAUUCCAUGUGUAGCGGUGAAAUGCGUAGAGAUAUGGAGGAACACCAGUGGCGAAGGCGGCUUCCUGGUCUGUAACUGACACUGAGGCGCGAAAGCGUGGGGAGCAAACAGGAUUAGAUACCCUGGUA
rnacentral:rRNA from 1 species